CUCCCUGUAGUUCAACCGGAUAGAACGAGGCCCUCCUAAGGCUUAAAUCGGGGUUCGAGUCCCUGCGGGGAGGCCA
rnacentral:tRNA from 1 species